CCUACGGGUGGCUGCAGUGGGGAAUAUUGGACAAUGGGCGAAAGCCUGAUCCAGCCAUGCCGCGUGUGUGAAGAAGGCCUUCGGGUUGUAAAGCACUUUCAGUGGGGAAGAAAGCCUUGGGGCUAAUACCCUCGAGGAAGGACAUCACCCACAGAAGAAGCACCGGCUAACUCCGUGCCAGCAGCCGCGGUAAUACGGAGGGUGCGAGCGUUAAUCGGAAUUACUGGGCGUAAAGCGCGCGUAGGCGGUCUGAUAAGCCGGUUGUGAAAGCCCCGGGCUCAACCUGGGAACGGCAUCCGGAACUGUCAGGCUAGAGUGCAGGAGAGGAAGGUAGAAUUCCCGGUGUAGCGGUGAAAUGCGUAGAGAUCGGGAGGAAUACCAGUGGCGAAGGCGGCCUUCUGGACUGACACUGACGCUGAGGUGCGAAAGCGUGGGUAGCAAACAGGAUUAGAUACCUCAGUAGUC
rnacentral:rRNA from 1 species